rnacentral:tRNA from 3 species
CUGUGUGUAGCUCAGUCUGGUAGAGUGUUAGCUUUGGAAGCUUAGGGUCGUAGGUUCAAAUCCUGCCACACAGA